GACGAACGCUGGCGGCGUGCUUAACACAUGCAAGUCGAACGCUGAAGCUUGGUGCUUGCACUGGGUGGAUGAGUGGCGAACGGGUGAGUAAUACGUGAGUAACCUGCCCUUGACUCUGGGAUAAGCCUGGGAAACUGGGUCUAAUACUGGAUACGACAUGUCACCGCAUGGUGGUGUGUGGAAAGGGUUUUACUGGUUUUGGAUGGGCUCACGGCCUAUCAGCUUGUUGGUGGGGUAAUGGCUCACCAAGGCGACGACGGGUAGCCGGCCUGAGAGGGUGACCGGCCACACUGGGACUGAGACACGGCCCAGACUCCUACGGGAGGCAGCAGUGGGGAAUAUUGCACAAUGGGCGGAAGCCUGAUGCAGCGACGCCGCGUGGGGGAUGACGGCCUUCGGGUUGUAAACCUCUUUCAGCACGGAAGAAGCGAAAGUGACGGUACGUGCAGAAGAAGCGCCGGCUAACUACGUG
rnacentral:rRNA from 1 species